rnacentral:rRNA from 1 species
CUUCGUGCCAGCAGCCGCGGUAAUACGAAGGGGGCUAGCGUUGUUCGGAAUUACUGGGCGUAAAGCGCACGUAGGCGGAUAUUUAAGUCAGGGGUGAAAUCCCAGAGCUCAACUCUGGAACUGCCUUUGAUACUGGGUAUCUUGAGUAUGGAAGAGGUAAGUGGAAUUCCGAGUGUAGAGGUGAAAUUCGUAGAUAUUCGGAGGAACACCAGUGGCGAAGGCGGCUUACUGGUCCAUUACUGACGCUGAGGUGCGAAAGCGUGGGGAGCAAACAGGAUUAGAUAC